UCAAUUCGGAUGUUCACAGCGCGACACCUAUCCAAUUUAUAAAAACUCACUGUUUCAUUUAAUUUAUUAUGGAAUUGAUGUAGGCUUUGUUAUGAGUUUUGGAACUUAUGUUUGGAUGAAAAUUUCCAGCCAGACAGCCCGAUAGAAAAUAACCAUAAUUCUCUCUUUACACGUCGCAGAAAAGUCUACUCUUCAUCUCUUUGUUCGAUCCCGUAGUCUGAACUUCUUCUUCAUCAAACGAAAUGCUCCCAGUGAAUCGCGUUAAAUCCCUUCUUAAAUCCAUCAAAAACGAUGUAGCCUUGAACAUGAGCUUUUAUUUUUGAAGCCAUAUAUCUACGAAUAUAAAAAGGUUAGUCUUCCUCCUCUCGAAACCAUCUUCUCAAUUCCUAUUAACAAUGGAAACUUCUUUAGUAUAAGGGUUAACUCAUCUGUCUUAGUUGCCGGUCAUUCUUUUUUUACCAUGGAGGUGUGUCUUGAAACUCUGUUGCGAGAUGAUGGGUGUAUACAUGCUCCCCCGCGAAGCUAAGAACAAUGGUUGUGAUUACUAAAACUUCUUUAGAGUUUACUCCAUCAAUGAUUGAUGCUUUUGCUUAAAGAGUUCGACUCUGUUUCUCAUGCUUCAUCUCUUCUUUCUAAUAAACCAGACAAUGCUUUUCAGGGAGGAGCUAGGGAAUUAGCUAUGCCACCCACAUUAUCUGAGAUACUCUACUCAAAUUCAAAGAAGUAGAACAACAACAAGAAGAUGAAGAGGGUGAAGGGAAGAAGAGGAAACACGAAUCUAUGCAGAGCUUAAAGAAGAUUAUGUCAACUGGAGAUAAGAAAAGACUAAAAGAGAGUAAAAUCAUGAACAUUGGUACAAACCUGAACUAUCAUUCUUAAAAGUCUCUAUUUUUUACUUUUUCUAUACGAAGAUUCAAUUUUCAAUU